GGAGGGAGCAAACAGCCCGGAGGUGGUGGUGGCCAGCUGGGACGGUGACCAGCACCCAGUCUUGGGAGCCACCUUCCCUCUGCAGGCCCAGGUCCCAGAGUCUGGCCAGGAGCCACCCCCACAGUAUGUUUAGACCAAACUCCCAGCCCAACGGGGACUCCCCAGCACGAGAGUGAGAAGGGGGACAGGCCAGGUCACUUCCCGAGUCUCCCAGCCCAAGGCUGCCUGGGUCCAGGCAAGUGGCUUCUGUGCCCCCGGAUGCAGGCGGUGGGCCAGCAGGGAGGGGGGAGGCCGGCCAGUGUUGGCAUAGCAGGUGUUCCUUCUGAGCCCCCCAAACACCCAAGAAAAGCAGGUCCAGGGUGGAUGUGGUGGAGGUGGGGAACUGAGGUGGCAGCAAUGUCCUAGGAUGGGACGGACAGGACACCAGUGUCCCCAUCUGGGCCUCAGUGUCCCCAUCUCGGGUCAGGAAGGGCCAUGUGGUCCUUGGGUGGAGCCUGAGUGGACCUGCUGGGCAAGCUCUAUCACCAACCCAUUCUCCUCCCUAUGUGAAGGGAGUCCUCCCCUGGGGUGGUCCACAGCCUCCGGGACCCAUGUCUGAAUGCCUCGUGGGGCCCCGUAGCUCAUCCGCCAUGGUGGCUGGACCCCAGUCCUGCCUCCAUGAAAGUACCUGGGCCCUCAGCGGGGCACAGCCCUGGCCUCUCACUCCUCACAGGCCAGGCCUGGGCAAAGGUGUUCAAAGGCUGGACCCCAGGAUACUCCCCAGAAGAUUCUAGGUGGAACCCUGGGUCUCCAAACUCUGGAGGGGUCACGGGCAUCCCCACACCCUCCUGUCCCCAGCACCUGGCAGGAGAUGCUAGAUCAGGCCCCAAGGUCAGGUCUCAGUUGCCAGAGUCAGGGGUACCCCAGGGACCGAGCAAGUCACUGAGGUAGGGAAACCAUACCACCUACCCCCAGGUCACCCCCACUAUGCCUCACCACCACCCCACCAGUCAGAACUUACAACCCCUACCUCAGACUCGCCUGAAGGAUCCAGAAGCCCUGGAAGGAGGGUCUGGGGCCUCCAGGGAGGCAGGAGAGGCUCAGGUGAGUGCUUGGAGUAGCCAUCAGAGGCCAAGUACCCAAAGUUUUGGGAGGAAGGGACAGGCUGGGCCCUACAGGAAGGGAAGGCGAGGCUGGGGCUUCUGCAGGACGCAGGGGUGGGGGACGGCUCGGCCCCACGGGCCCCUGGGACACAGGACCUAGGAGUGCUGCCUUCAGUGAACUACAGGCCGAGAGCCCUGGAUGGUCCUGGCCCAGUAGGUGCUGCUUGUGUUUCUUCCUGGAGCAGUCAGGGUGGAGAGGGCUGGAGACCCUCCUCAGGGAGGGUGGAGGCCUCUUCAAGCUUGAGGGGAGUGUCGCAGAGUAAAACCCUACCCCGCAGAGAGGACAUGGGACAGGUCAUGGAGCAGGGGUGGGUGAGCCAGGGGCACCAGGGCACAGGCAGGUCAGCAAGGGGAGGGAGAGUCUGGCCCUGGUCUGACCCCACCAUGGGGGAUCCUGCAGCUACUCCUGGGAGAGGAGAGCCCACCCUGUGACUUCACAUGAGGAAACUGAGGCUCAGAGAGGGGCAGGUGGUUGCUGAGGGUCACAGACACGAGGAAGGGGCAGGAGCCACACAAGACAUGGCAAGGAAGGGUGGGGAGACCUCAUAGCUCAAAGGAGCCCCCCAAGAACCGCGCUGCCCUUGCAGCUUGGAGCCCCCACCCUCAGAGCCCCCUGCCACCUGGGCCCGCCUAGUCACAGCCAUCCUGUCCCCAGGACAGAGAGGUGCCCACAGCCUGCAGGGACCAGGUUGGGGGUGGGUGUAAGUGGGCAGGUGCUGGGCUGGGACUGCGGUCCACCAGGUGACUGCAUUCAUGAGACCCCCUUUAGAGUCCCCAUAGGGUGAGACACCUUACAGGACUGGUCUCUGGAGGGUGCGUCCAGGAUAGAAGCAUCGAGGGUCCCAGGCAUGGAGCACAGAGUCUCAGGGCAGACAUCGGGGUGAGGAAUCUUGAGGGGUGCCCCGGAGCAGAGCCCGGGAGGGGCGGGGAGCAGACAGGAGGAGGGUAGGGACAAGUGAGGACAGCAUUCGGAGGCAGGACCAGCAGCGACCACACAGUGGCUGGAGACAAGAGCCCCUGAGACCAGUGGACAUCCUUGCCAAAGUGCCAGAGACCGAGAGGCAGGAGGAAUCCCCAGAUGGGAGGGCACGGCUCCAACCCAGCCAGUGACCAGCCUGGUCAUGAUGACAGAGGCAGGGCCCCUGCAGGGCCAAACCCCCGGCAAAUGAACACAGCCCGUGUACAGGAACACACACUGUCCCAGACAUUAUAGCCGAACCCCAAAACACAGGGGUCAAGCAGGAAACGACCCAGUCCGAAUGCCACCCGUUCAGGCUCAGGAAAGUAAGCGGAGAGAACCAGGCAGCUGUGGGUGUGACCCAGAAGGGACUGUUGGCACCUUGGACCCGGGGGAAGGGGAAGAGGAGGAGCACACACCGCCCGGGAACAGCCCCCCAGGGGGCCCCCACUGCCCACAGGAGUAAAGCAGGACUCCUGGGCCCAGACCCCUCGAAACCUUCACUGGAGGACCUGGAGUCCUCAACCACAGAAAUCCCCAAUUCGUUGGCUCAGGCCAAAGCAGACAGAAGCUGUUCUUCCAGAGCUGCCCAGGCGAUUGUAAUGUGUGGCCAGCAUGGGGGUCCGGAGGUCGGCAGGGUCCCAGCAGAAGGAAGGGCAAGCAGCGGUGGGGGGCGUGCCCCAGCACCAAGACCGGAAGUGCACCCCAGCAAGGGCACCUGCACGGUGACAGAAAGGACCGGCCCUGGAAAGUCAGCUCAACUCACCUGUUGAGCCGGUUGCAGAACACGGAGACACGAAAUUCACAGUAGGUUCUAGGUCAAACCCACCAGGCCCUCCCCAGCCCCCACAGCAAGUGGGGGGCAUCUAAGAUGUCAGAGAGCCUGCCCCCGAGCCAGUGGGUACUUUCCCUCCUAGCCAGGGGCACAUCCUGCCCUUAAGUCAGCCGCCUUCCCCCCCUGCCUGUGCUGCAGCGCGCGCAGCGCCAGGCCCUGCCAGAUAGGGAGUCAGCUCCUGAGCUCGCUCAGUACCCUGCUCUGCCCUCCGGCCGGGCCUGGUCCACACGCCUGGGGUGGGGGGCCCAGGGACGGGAGAGAGCAGGGCCAGGCUCAGGGGACUUCCCACCUGAGCUGCAUCGUGGCUUUUCUCCAGGACAAGGACGGAGACCCAUGGGACGCACAGGGAGAGUCAGAAAUGGAGCUGGCGGAGGGCAUCACACUUGGCGAGGGCUCCCCCAGCUCUCCGGGUGGGGAUGGGGCCCCAGACACCAUGCUCUGGAAGCUGAAGCCCAGGCUUCUAGAAAUGGAAGUGAAGACACCCCAGGAGGAGACCUGGGGCAGACCAGAGCUGGGCCCACCGGGUGGGGGAGCCCUGAGCCCCCACACUGAGCUCCUUACCUCUCCCUCCCCGGGCCAGGAUUGGGCCCCGACGGGGAUGGGGCUCACCACCAGUGAGGGAGUGCAGCUGUGAGGCCCAUGGAGGCCGGCCUUGGGGAGGUGGCUGGACUCGGACACCAGGGCCCUCUGUGUCAGGCCCGGUGCAAGGAGCAGGUGGCCCCCACCCACCUUCACAGGUGCCACAGGUACCAUCCUGGGAUAGGCCGGCAGCAGGUGCCUCCCUCCAGCCCCCUGCCAGCCUGACCAGGACCUCGGUGGCUUUGUGCCAGGGGCCCUGCUGACCAGCUGUCUGCCUGCAGCUGCCUCCCUCCCCUCUCCCAGACUCAGGCUGGGCGAGGGGCUCCCUCUGACCUGCCCUCCAGCUCCUGCCCCUUCCUGCCUCUGUGGACCUUAAGGUCCUUCCAGGGAGGGCUCUGUCCUUGCCCUCCAAGUGUUCCGUGCUCUCCAGCGGGACCCAUGUGGUGCCUCGUGUACAAGCCCCCGGUGAUGCGGGUGCCCAUGGCUCUGGGUCACAGCCUGAGGGUCGUUGAGGCUCCACACCCUCGGGGUGAGGCUUGUGACCCAGGCUCUGUCGUGCCAAUCCUUCCCUAUCAUGCAGUCCGGUAGAGAUGUCUCAGAUGAACCGCUGGAAUCCCUCCUUCCUCUCGAGACAGCAGAUCCUUAACCCCAGGCCUCCCUCGCUCCUAUUCGUGUCUCUGCGUCCAGGUGUGUUUGAGAAAUGAAGUGACAUUUGUGAGCGACAUGGUGUUCGGCAUGGCGGCAGAUCGUUCCCCCUCAGAAACCUCUUCCAGCUUUGGGCGUGACUGGAGCUUCAGGGCUUCCGAAUUGCCUGGAGACCCUGUCGCCCCACCCACGUGCCCUCCCAGCCAGGGGACCGGCUCCGAGUCGGAUGGGGAGUCCCCCUACGUUGUUUAACAAAUUCUACAUCUAGUGGUUUCCAAUGAGUUUUUUGCUUUUUAGCAGUUUGAAAUCACCAUUUUGUGUCCCCCCGGUCCCCGAGCCUCCUGCUACUAAUUACUUCCCUCACCAAGUUCCUGGCUGGAGUCACCCUGCUUUCCGUAGAUGGUCACAUGGGCCCCAGAAAGGUGGCUCCGAUGGGUCCUUCGCAGCUGCCCGUUGCCGUAACUCUGACGGGCCGUCCCUGAUCUUUGUCUCCUAAAUGCUGAGAGGACGCCCCAUGUCUCUCUGUUCUUUUGCUCAUUGGCUGUCCCAGGAAGAGACAAACAGGUGUCGUGAAAGAGAAUUGCUAAGCGACAACUCGCAGUGUAGACCCAGGAUGAUGGCCACCUUGUUUGCCAGAGCUUUGCUCAGGAAGCCGUGCCGGGUAGGUUGUUAGGUGCUGAGGGGGCAGCUGACCCCAGGGAGGGAAAGCGGGGGCCGGGGGGGGGGGGCGUUUAGAAAGAGAAGCUGGUGCCAGCCUGGCUUUGCUGUUAUUUCCCCCGAUGGCAGCCACGAGCACAUCACGUGAGUGCAUCUCACCAUCAGGGCCUCACUCCCUCUCAGCUGUGCCAUAGGUCACAAGAUCAAAGCUGGAUGGCGUGGCUGUGGUCUAGGCCCUGACAACAUCCGGGGACAGCAUCUGGGGAUGGGGCAAUUUCUACAUGGAGCCGUUCCAUAAAACUGUGUGAGUCAAAUUUUGAAAGUGAAGUGUAACGUAGUUGAAGAAAUAUGUACAGACUGUAAGUGCACAGAGCGAGCACUUAUGUGUCAGCCCCCCGAGAAGCCCACUGGGUAAUCCCUCUCCUGUCCUCCCCGUGGGUAAGCUCCGUGAUGUCCUCUAACGCCAGAAUGAGUGUCACCUGUCUCGGCCGUCAUCCGCAGGGAUGUGCAUGUCCCAACACGGAUUUUUCGUGUCUGGCAUCUUGCAGAGUUCACUGGCGGGAUUCCACAGGGGGCUGUGCACAGCUGUCGUCCAUCCAUUCCCUUUGCUGAACCAUAUGCCCUUGUUUGGGUAUAGCAGACUUCUUGUCCAAUCCACUGAUGAUGGCCGUGAGGUUGAGGGUGCUGCUGGGGACGUCCCUGGCCCCGGCUUUGGUCAUUCUGUUCCUGUCAGAGCCCCAUCCUUGGUGUAAGAGACCUGUCGCAUUUUCAGCUCUGCCACCCUUAAAAUCAGAUCCUAGGCUGACCUCCAGCAUCCGUUCAAAGUAUACGGACCAACAACCAGGGUCGGGACAAAGCGGGAUCGUCGGUCUUGACUCGAGGGGACUAGCUUAUCCGAGGAAGGAAUUGCAGUGUCUGGCAAACGUGUGUCCGCAGGGACUGGGCAAAGUCAGGUAGGACUGGACCCGCGCGCUGGGACCAAGGGCUGGGGCAAAGCGUAAAGUGGGUAUGGGGCCUCCGCUGACAUAGGAGCAUCCCCUUGUGACCGUGUGACCAGCGUCCUGGCAAGGGCACCUGAGACCGGUCCUAAUGCAUUUCUGGAGGCUGCAUCAGGGUCCUGCUGUACAUGAGGCAGACAGCUAUGAACUUCCUCUGCAACAUGUGGAAGGCUCAGGAAAGGGGAAAUGUUAGGACAGGGUUUUCUUGUGACACCGGUGACUCUGCUCCCCAAGAGGUCCCAAAGGAGCCUCCCUAAGGCCACAAGGAAUCCCCAGUGAGGGGGAGUCAGCAUCUGCCCUAUAGAUAUUUCCAAGCUUGUAUUUAUUUCUUCCGGCACGAUUAGUCUGCGCUCCACAGUCCGUGCCUGAUACACGGGGUGGCCGAGAGCCAGGUCUUUGCCAGCCUGCCCGCUGUCCACUGUUCCUGCUGGGUCUCGCCCAUGUGCUUGCUGAUUUUUGCAUGGAGUUCAUUGUCCUCCCAAAACUCCUUGUAGGGGCCCCUGGGGGAGCUCAGUCGGUUAAGGGUUCGACUUGAUUUCGGCUCAGGUCAUGAACCCCUGGGUCGUGGGUUCUAGCCCCACAUCAGGCUCUGCUCUGAGUGUGGAGCCUGCUUCAGAUUCUCUCUCUCUCUCUCUCUCUCUCUCUCUCUCUCUCUCUCUCCCCCCCCCAUCUGCCUCUCCCCACCUCUGUCGGAGUACUUUGACACCCAGCCAGAAUGAAGACACUGUUCUUAGGAGACGAUCAGUGUUUGCUGCUACCCAGCACCAGUCUGGGCCGGUUUCAAAAACCACGUAUGGCUUCAACUUUUUAUUCUGUUUUGUUCUUAGACUGCUUGCUUACGUAAUGUGAUUGGCACAGUGCCCAGCACCCUCUCCCCGUGGUCCAGCCCUGGGUCCAAAAGGGUGGAAAGUGUGGCUGGUCCGUUGGCUGUCCCCGGGGCUCUGCUUCCUAGACCAAGCAUGUCAGGGCUUCCCGAUCCUUCCCAGCCAUGGUCCUGCCCUGCCCGCUCAGAAACAACCCCAGGGACACAGUUCUGGGCCCGAGUCAGAGAAAAGAGGGCUCUCCGGGUGGAGAGAGGAAGAGGAGGGACCGAGACCCACAGCGGUGGAAGAUCAGGAAGGAGGCGGCCUGGCCGUUGUCUUCAGCAGGUGGCAGCACUGGGCAGGAGGGCCGGAGGACAGAGAGGACCAGGGACGAACAAGCCAGUUCUUUCUUCAGACACAAGG